CUGAGCUCAUUACUGCAGACAAUGUUUUUCUUCUUUUGCCUCUCAACUCUGUUUUUGUGUAAGUUUCCUCCGUUUUCCAGAUUCUUCUCAUUUUACAAAAGUAUUUGCAGUUUUAUUGCCGUUUCAAUGCUCUAGGUCAUUAUUCAGCAAAACUGAUUAGCUGAGACAGUUUGUAGGAGUAUAGCUAUUUUUUGCAAAGCAUAUUUGUUAGUAGUAAUAACAGUUUACCAUAUAUUUUUGUUGUUUGCUACUGUAUUUUAUUUUUGUUCUUCAGAUGCAGAAAGUAACUCCCAGCUGCAGCAGCCGGCAGAAGUAACCUCUCUGGAAGGACAGAAUGCAGCAAUCUCAUGUAACCACACCAUCUCCACUUAUGACAGACUGUACUGGUAUAAAGAACAUGAUGUUAAGGGACUGGAGCUAAUCAUAUCUGGCUAUAGAACUACAGAAUAUAAUGGACCAUUCAGUUUGGUGUUCAGUACAGAUAAGCUCUCUGCAACACUUCACAUCAAGGAUGUACAGAUUGCCCAAACUGGGACGUAUCAUUGUGCUGUGAGAGACACAGUGACUAGAGGCAACAGCAUGAAUGGCAUAAAACCUACCACACUCAGUAUGUCAUAUCCUCAUUGCUAUGCAGCGGUUUAA